rnacentral:rRNA from 1 species
CGUGAGAACCUACCUAUCGGUUCGGAAUAACUCGGGGAAACUCGAGCUAAUACCGGAUACGCCCUUCGGGGGAAAGAUUUAUCGCCGAAUGAUGGGCCCGCGUUGGAUUAGCUUGUUGGUGAGGUAACGGCUCACCAAGGCGACGAUCCAUAGCUGGUCUAAGAUGAUGAUCAGCCACACUGGGACUGAGACACGGCCCAGACUCCUACGGGAGGCAGCAGUGGGGAAUAUUGGACAAUGGGCGAAAGCCUGAUCCAGCCAUGCCGCGUGAGUGAUGAAGGCCUUAGGGUUGUAAAGCUCUUUCGCCAGGGAUGAUAAUGACAGUACCUGGUAAAGAAGCCCCGGCUAACUUCGUGCCAGCAGCCGCGGUAAUACGAAGGGGGCUAGCGUUGUUCGGAAUUACUGGGCGUAAAGCGCACGUAGGCGGGUCAUUAAGUCAGGGGUGAAAUCCCGGGGCUCAACCUCGGAAUUGCCUUUGAUACUGGUGGCCUUGAGUCCGAGAGAGGUGAGUGGAACUCCGAGUGUAGGGGUGAAAUUCGUAGAUAUUCGGAAGAACACCAGUGGCGAAGGCGGCUCACUGGCUCGGUACUGACUCUGAGACGAGACAGCAUAGGGAGCAAUGAAAUUAGAGACCCCAAUAUCCCCUCUCGGACGGGUGAGUAACGCGUGAUAAUGGGAUUAGAU